GACGAACGCUGGCGGUGUGCCUAACACAUGCAAGUCGAGGGCUUUAGUAGCAAUACAAAGAGCACUGGCGCACGGGUGAGUAACGCGUAGAUCAUCUGCCCCUAACACUGACAUAACAGUUCUAACGGACUGCUAAUAUCAGAUGUGAUGAGCAAUCAUUAAAGGGAAACCGGUUAGGGAUGAGUCUGCGUCUGAUUAGGUAGUUGGUGAGGUAACGGCUCACCAAGCCUACGAUCAGUAACUGGUCUGAGAGGACGAACAGUCACACUGGAACUGAGACACGGUCCAGACUCCUACGGGAGGCAGCAGUGAGGAAUAUUGCACAAUGGGAGAAAUCCUGAUGCAGCGACGCCGCGUGUGGGAAGAAGGAGCUUAGCUUCGUAAACCACUGUCGGAGGGGACGAAUGAUAGGUUAGACCUAUUGAGACGGUACCCUCAAAGGAAGGAUCGGCUAACUACGUGCCAGCAGCCG
rnacentral:rRNA from 1 species